rnacentral:rRNA from 1 species
UACGGGGGGGGCAAGCGUUGUUCGGAAUUACUGGGCGUAAAGGGCUCGUAGGCGGCUAACUAAGUCAGACGUGAAAUCCCUCGGCUUAACCGGGGAACUGCGUCUGAUACUGGAUGGCUUGAGUUUGGGAGAGGGAUGCGGAAUUCCAGGUGUAGCGGUGAAAUGCGUAGAUAUUGGGAGGAACACCAGUGGCGAAGGCGGCUCACUGGACCGGAACUGACGCUGAGGCGCGAAAGCGUGGGGAGCAAACGGG